rnacentral:rRNA from 1 species
UGGCGGCAGGCCUAAACAUGCAAGUCGAGCGGUAGAGAGAAGCUUGCUUCUCUUGAGAGCGGCGGACGGGUGAGUAAUGCCUAGGAAUCUGCCUGGUAGUGGGGGAUAACGUUCGGAAACGGACGCUAAUACCGCAUACGUCCUACGGGAGAAAGCAGGGGACCUUCGGGCCUUGCGCUAUCAGAUGAGCCUAGGUCGGAUUAGCUAGUUGGUGAGGUAAUGGCUCACCAAGGCGACGAUCCGUAACUGGUCUGAGAGGAUGAUCAGUCACACUGGAACUGAGACACGGUCCAGACUCCUACGGGAGGCAGCAGUGGGGAAUAUUGGACAAUGGGCGAAAGCCUGAUCCAGCCAUGCCGCGUGUGUGAAGAAGGUCUUCGGAUUGUAAAGCACUUUAAGUUGGGAGGAAGGGUUGUAGAUUAAUACUCUGCAAUUUUGACGUUACCGACAGAAUAAGCACCGGCUAACUCUGUGCCAGCAGCCGCGGUAAUACAGAGGGUGCAAGCGUUAAUCGGAAUUACUGGGCGUAAAGCGCGCGUAGGUGGUUUGUUAAGUUGGAUGUGAAAUCCCCGGGCUCAACCUGGGAACUGCAUUCAAAACUGACUGACUAGAGUAUGGUAGAGGGUGGUGGAAUUUCCUGUGUAGCGGUGAAAUGCGUAGAUAUAGGAAGGAACACCAGUGGCGAAGGCGACCACCUGGACUAAUACUGACACUGAGGU